rnacentral:rRNA from 1 species
UGGGGAAUAUUGCACAAUGGGCGCAAGCCUGAUGCAGCCAUGCCGCGUGUGUGAAGAAGGCCUUCGGGUUGUAAAGCACUUUCAGCGAGGAGGAAGGUGGUGAACUUAAUACGUUCAUCAAUUGACGUUACUCGCAGAAGAAGCACCGGCUAACUCCGUGCCAGCAGCCGCGGUAAUACGGAGGGUGCAAGCGUUAAUCGGAAUUACUGGGCGUAAAGCGCACGCAGGCGGUUUGUUAAGUCAGAUGUGAAAUCCCCGGGCUCAACCUGGGAACUGCAUUUGAAACUGGCAAGCUAGAGUCUCGUAGAGGGGGGUAGAAUUCCAGGUGUAGCGGUGAAAUGCGUAGAGAUCUGGAGGAAUACCGGUGGCGAAGGCGGCCCCCCUGGANGAAGACUGACGCUCAGGUGCG